rnacentral:tRNA from 1 species
CCGGGAUUCCCGAGCCUGGUACGGGGCAGUUCCUUUUAAGUCUGUGGUCCUUAUGGGCCUCGUGGGUUCGAAUCCCACUCCCGGCGCCA